rnacentral:rRNA from 1 species
AUUGAACGCUGGCGGCAGGCUUAACACCUGCAAGUCGAACGAGUGGCGGACGGGUGAGUAAUGCUUGGGAAUCUAGCUUAUGGAGGGGGAUAACUACGGGAAACUGUAGCUAAUACCGCAUACCAUAGGAUGAUCCCAAGUGGGAUUAGGUAGUUGGUGAGGUAACGGCGCACCAAGCCGACGAUCACUAGCUGGUCUGAGAGGAUGACCAGACACAAUGGGACUGAGACACGGUCCAGACUCCUACGGAAGGCAGCAGUGGGGAAUAUUGCGCAAUGGGGGCAACCUGACGCAGCCAUGCCGCGUGAAUGAAGAAGGCCUUCGGGUUGUAAAGUUCUUUCGGUAGCGAGGCGUUAACUACAGAAGAAGCACCGGCUAACUCCGUGCCAGCCGCCGCGGUAAUUC